UACGUAGGGACCAAGCGUUGUUCGGAUUUACUGGGCGUAAAGGGCGCGUAGGCGGCUUGUCAAGUCACUUGUGAAAUCUCUGGGCUUAACCCAGAACGGCCAAGUGAAACUGACAUGCUAGAGUGCAGAAGGGGCAAUCGGAAUUCUUGGUGUAGCGGUGAAAUGCGUAGAUAUCAAGAGGAACACCUGAGGUGAAGACGGGUUGCUGGGCUGACACUGACGCUGAGGCGCGAAAGCUAGGGUAGCAAACGGG
rnacentral:rRNA from 1 species